GCUUACGGCCACAACGGCCUGAUCUCGUCCGAUCUCGGAAGCUAAGCAGGGUCGGGCCUGGUUAGUACUUGGAUGGGAGACCGCCUGGGAAUACCAGGUGCUGUAAGCU
rnacentral:rRNA from 1 species